UACAGAGGGUGCGAGCGUUGUCCGGAAUCACUGGGCGUAAAGGGCGCGUAGGUGGCUCGUUAAGCGUGUGGUGAAAGCCUGGGGCUCAACCCCAGGUCUGCCGUGCGAACUGGCGAGCUUGAGCAGAGUAGAGGCGGGUGGAAUUUCGGGUGUAGCGGUGGAAUGCGCAGAUAUCAGGAGGAACACCGGUGGCGAAGGCGAGUCCCUGGACAACUCCUGACACUGAGGCACGAAAGCUAGGGGAGCGAACGGG
rnacentral:rRNA from 1 species